AACGCGAAGAACCUUACCAGCUCUUGACAUGCCCGGUAUGGGCGGGAGAGAUCCCGUUCUUCGGUUCGGCCGGCCGGGACACAGGUGCUGCAUGGCCGUCGUCAGCUCGUGUCGUAAGAUGUUGGGUUAAGUCCCGCAACGAGCGCAACCCCUGUGAACUGUUGCCACGGAACCGAGAGGUUCCAGCACUCUGUUCAGACUGCCUCGCUUAAACGAGGAGGAAGGUGGGGACGACGUCAAGUCAGUAUGGCCCUUACGGCCUGGGCUGCACACGUGCUACAAUGGUCGGUACAAACCGUCGCAAAGCUGCAAAGUGGAGCUAAUCGGAAAAAGCCGGCCUCAGUUCGGAUUGGAGUCUGCAACUCGACUCCAUGAAGCUGGAAUCGCUAGUAAUCGCAGAUCAGAACGCUGCGGUGAAUACGUUCCCGGGCCUUGUACACACCGACGCGUA
rnacentral:rRNA from 1 species